AAAUUCCAUCUAAAGCUAAAUAUUGGCGAGAGACCGAUAGCGAACAAGUACCGUGAGGGAAAGAUGAAAAGAACUUUGGAAAGAGAGUUAAACAGUACGUGAAAUUGCUGAAAGGGAAACGCUUGAAGUCAGUCGCGUUGGCCGGGGAUCAGCCUCGCUUUUGCGUGGUGUACUUUCCGGUUGACGGGUCAGCAUCAAUUUUGACCGCUGGAAAAAGGCUUGAGGAAUGUGGCAGCUCCGGCUGUGUUAUAGCUUCUUGUCACAUACAGCGGUUGGGAUUGAGGUACUCAGCACGCCGCAAGCCGGGUUUCGACCACGUUCGUGCUUAGGAUGCUGCAUAAUGGCUUUAAGCGACCCGUCUUGAAACACGGACCAAGGAGUCUAACAUGCCUCGAGUGUUUGCCUGGAAAACCGAGCGCGUAAUGAAAGUGAAAGUUGAGAUCCCUGUCGCGGGGAGCAUCGACGCCCGGACCAGAACUUUUGGGACGGAUCCGCGGUAGAGCAUGUAUGUUGGGACCCGAAAGAUGGUGAACUAUGCCUGAAUAGGGUGAAGCCAGAGGAAACUCUGGUGGAGGCUCGUAACGAUUCUGACGUGCAAAUCGAUCGUCAAAUUUGGGUAUAGGGGCGAAAGACUAAUCGAACCAUCUAGUAGCUGGUUCCUGCCGAAGUUUCCCUCAGGAUAG
rnacentral:rRNA from 1 species